AAAUAACAAUACGGGGCUUAAUGUCUUGUAAUUGGAAUGAUGGGAAUUUAAACCUCUUCCAGAGUAUCAAUUGGAGGGCAAGUCUGGUGCCAGCAGCCGCGGUAAUUCCAGCUCCAAUAGCGUAUAUUAAAAUUGUUGCAGUUAAAAAGCUCGUAGUUGAAUUUCUGCUGCAUUGCAUUUGCUCCUUGACGAGUGUCUGUAUUGCGGCUUAUUUCGGAUUAUGCUUGCAUUUUCCGGAUGUUUACUUUGAGAAAAUUAGAGUGCUCAAAGCAGGCUUUUGCCUUGAAUAGUUUAGCAUGGAAUAAUAAAGUAGGACUUUGGUUCUAUUUUGUUGGUUUUAGGUACCAAAGUAAUGGUUAAUAGGAACAGUUGGGGGCAUUCGUAUUUA
rnacentral:rRNA from 1 species